AACUGGGGAAAUCCCCUGCAACGUGUGGUAUGCUGGGAACCUCCUGCAAGAGCUCUCCCUGCAAUCUCAGGCAUCUUUAGGAGAUCCUGCUUUGGGAGGAGUGGAUUAUGACGGCCGAGGGUUGAUCCUCAAUAGGAAAAAAGGUCAUUAGACUCAGAUGCUGCCACUCCCCUUGGAACUCAGCAUGGUGCUCUGGAUUAGAGGAAUCUCUACUGUACCUGAGGAGAUUUGGAGCCCACACCAAGGCCAGGUUUCUGGUGUGCAUGUUGGUCAUGUUGCUGAAGGAAGCCAGCAACUUCAAAGACAGUUUAUCUUCCGCAUCCAUCUGAAGCUCCGUUGGCCGCAGUCUGUACCUGAGGGACUAACACCAAAAAGGUACUGAGCAAUGUCCCUGAAUCCCUCUGACACUCCCAAACGUUGCCUUUACCUCAACUUCUGUAUGUUGGACGUCACUCCUGAGAGCCGGUAGAUCCCAUCCACGAUGCCAUGAGUCUCAAUGAACUCCGCACAGCUCUUCAGCACGUAAGGGACUACGAGAGGAAAGCAAAGCAAGAUGUCCAGUGAAUACACACUGACAGCUCCCACAAGUCACCACAGAGGAGACAGUUCCAUGAAAAAACAACAGAGGCUCUCUGUGGAUGCAGGGAAGGGUACAGCAAUGAAAGAAAUACAGGGCAAAUCAAAAAUAACCCCUGCAAAGUGGCCAUGAGGAUAUGCUGUGGUUGUGCCAUGCAAUGCUCAUUAACAUGUGACAAUGACUGACCCUGAAGUCACAGUAACAUAGCAGAAAGAAAGGUAGGGUUUCCCUCUCUUCCCUUCUCUUCCAAAAUAAAAAAAAUAAAA